rnacentral:lncRNA from 1 species
ACUCAAGUUCUAACAUCUGGCAUGGAUGAUUCCCUUCUAGUUAGGGCUGAUUUAAAUACUCCCUUCAUUGCGGUAUGGGGUGACAGGGCUGCUGCUGGGGGAUGGGGAAGAGAUGGCAUUGGUGAUUCAAGACUCUUUGCUAUCCUCUUCAAUGCCUCUUUCAGUGUAGGAAGUUAAAAUCAGUUAUGUAAUGGAAUUGAAUGAAGCAAGUGUCAGAUCUACAUCUCUACAAACACUCACUUUAUCAGUUCAGAGAAUAAAGAGAUGAAUUUAAUAAUGCCACUGGACACUUAUACUCUAUCGGAUCCUAAUAAUUUCUCACACUAAUGAAUUCUUCUAUCAACUUCAUGUUAAUCAAGAGGAGACAGAGCCAAGAAGUGAGUAAUUGCUUACUGAAUUGUGAAAGCUGGGAUGAUUUAACUACAGUAAUGAGAAAGGAGAUCUGAAGACAGAAGAAAUAUUAUGCAGUUUCGCAGAGAUAUCAACAACGUUGGUUGCCAAGAGACAGUUUUUCUCAAGCUCCCAAAUGAAAUGGAGUCUUGGGCACCAAAAAUUGUCACAACACAUUUUAAGAAAAGCGCACAUAAUUCUGACACACGAAUGA